rnacentral:rRNA from 1 species
UACGGGAGGCAGCAGUGGGGAAUAUUGCACAAUGGGCGAAAGCCUGAUGCAGCUAUGCCGCGUGUAUGAAGAAGGCCUUAGGGUUGUAAAGUACUUUCAUCGGGGAGGAAAAAACAAAACUAAUAAUUUUAUUUCUUGACGUUACCCGAAAAAGAAGCACCGGCUAACUCCGUGCCAGCAGCCGCGGUAAUACGGAGGGUGCUAGCGUUAAUCAGAAUUACUGGGCGUAAAGAGCACGUAGGUGGUUUUUUUAAGUCAGAUGCGAAAUCCCUGGGCUUAACCUAGGAACUGCAUUUUGAAACUGAAAUACUAGAGUAUCGUAGAGGGAGGUAGAAUUCUAGGUGUAGCGGUGAAAUGCGUAGAUAUCUGGAGGAAUACCUGUGGCGAAAGCGGCCUCCUAAACGAAUACUGACACUGAGGUGCGAAAGCGUGGGGAGCAAACAGGGAUUAGAUACC